UAGAGCAGGCAGCUAAACUGGCAGAACAGGCAGCUGAACUUCUGACAAUUAAAUCCAGAGCAAACGCAACAGAAAACCAUGUGAACGCUCUGACAAGAGAAGGAGAAGUGAAACGAGUGGCUUUCUCAGCGUCUUUGUUCGCUUCUGGCCAUGAAACUCUUGGACCAUUUAACGCAUACACGAACCUGAUCUUCAGAAAGGUUGUUACAAAUGUUGGAAAUGCCUAUAACCCAAACACAGGGUUUUUCACAGCACCGGUGAGAGGAGCCUACCACUUUGAGUUCUACAUUGGUUCACAUGGAGAGCCUACUGGUGCUGUGCUGGUCAAGAAUGGAGACCGUGUUUGUACGGCUUAUGAACAUCAGACUUCAGGG